GGUUAAGCGACUAAGCGUACACGGUGGAUGCCCUGGCAGUCAGAGGCGAUGAAGGACGUGCUAAUCUGCGAAAAGCGUCGGUAAGGUGAUAUGAACCGUUAUAACCGGCGAUGUCCGAAUGGGGAAACCCAGUGCAAUUCGUUGCACUAUCGUUAACUGAAUACAUAGGUUAACGAGGCGAACCGGGGGAACUGAAACAUCUAAGUACCCCGAGGAAAAGAAAUCAACCGAGAUUCCCCCAGUAGCGGCGAGCGAACGGGGAGCAGCCCAGAGUCUGAAUCAGCUUGUGUGUUAGUGGAACGGUCUGGAAAGUCCGACGGUACAGGGUGAUAGUCCCGUACACCAAAAUGCACAGGUUGUGAACUCGAAGAGUAGGGCGGGACACGUGGUAUCCUGUCUGAAUAUGGGGGGACCAUCCUCCAAGGCUAAAUACUCCUGACUGACCGAUAGUGAACCAGUACCGUGAGGGAAAGGCGAAAAGAACCCCGGCGAGGGGAGUGAAAAAGAACCUGAAACCGUGUACGUACAAGCAGUGGGAGCACCUUCGGGUGUGACUGCGUACCUUUUGUAUAAUGGGUCAGCGACUUAUAUUCUGUAGCAAGGUUAACCGUAUAGGGGAGCCGCAGGGAAACCGAGUCUUAACUGGGCGUUAAGUUGCAGGGUAUAGACCCGAAACCCGGUGAUCUAGCCAUGGGCAGGUUGAAGGUUGGGUAACACUAACUGGAGGACCGAACCGACUAAUGUUGAAAAAUUAGCGGAUGACUUGUGGCUGGGGGUGAAAGGCCAAUCAAACCGGGAGAUAGCUGGUUCUCCCCGAAAGCUAUUUAGGUAGCGCCUCGUGAACUCAUCUUCGGGGGUAGAGCACUGUUUCGGCUAGGGGGUCAUCCCGACUUACCAACCCGAUGCAAACUACGAAUACCGAAGAAUGUUAUCACGGGAGACACACGGCGGGUGCUAACGUCCGUCGUGAAGAGGGAAACAACCCAGACCGCCAGCUAAGGUCCCAAAGUCAUGGUUAAGUGGGAAACGAUGUGGGAAGGCACAGACAGCCAGGAUGUUGGCUUAGAAGCAGCCAUCAUUUAAAGAAAGCGUAAUAGCUCACUGGUCGAGUCGGCCUGCGCGGAAGAUGUAACGGGGCUAAACCAUGCACCGAAGCUGCGGCAGCGACACUAUGUGUUGUUGGGUAGGGGAGCGUUCUGUAAGCCUGCGAAGGUGACCUGUGAGGGUUGCUGGAGGUAUCAGAAGUGCGAAUGCUGACAUAAGUAACGAUAAAGCGGGUGAAAAGCCCGCUCGCCGGAAGACCAAGGGUUCCUGUCCAACGUUAAUCGGGGCAGGGUGAGUCGACCCCUAAGGCGAGGCCGAAAGGCGUAGUCGAUGGGAAACAGGUUAAUAUUCCUGUACUUGGUGUUACUGCGAAGGGGGGACGGAGAAGGCUAUGUUAGCCGGGCGACGGUUGUCCCGGUUUAAGCAUGUAGGCUGAUUGUCCAGGCAAAUCCGGAUAAUCAAGGCUGAGGUGUGAUGACGAGGCACUACGGUGCUGAAGUAACAAAUGCCCUGCUUCCAGGAAAAGCCUCUAAGCAUCAGGUAACAUCAAAUCGUACCCCAAACCGACACAGGUGGUCAGGUAGAGAAUACCAAGGCGCUUGAGAGAACUCGGGUGAAGGAACUAGGCAAAAUGGUGCCGUAACUUCGGGAGAAGGCACGCUGGUGUGUAGGUGAAGUCCCUGCGGAUGGAGCUGAGACCAGUCGAAGAUACCAGCUGGCUGCAACUGUUUAUUAAAAACACAGCACUGUGCAAACACGAAAGUGGACGUAUACGGUGUGACGCCUGCCCGGUGCCGGAAGGUUAAUUGAUGGGGUUAUCCGUAAGGAGAAGCUCUUGAUCGAAGCCCCGGUAAACGGCGGCCGUAACUAUAACGGUCCUAAGGUAGCGAAAUUCCUUGUCGGGUAAGUUCCGACCUGCACGAAUGGCGUAAUGAUGGCCAGGCUGUCUCCACCCGAGACUCAGUGAAAUUGAACUCGCUGUGAAGAUGCAGUGUACCCGCGGCAAGACGGAAAGACCCCGUGAACCUUUACUAUAGCUUGACACUGAACAUUGAGCCUUGAUGUGUAGGAUAGGUGGGAGGCUUUGAAGCGUGGACGCCAGUCUGCGUGGAGCCAACCUUGAAAUACCACCCUUUAAUGUUUGAUGUUCUAACGUUGGCCCCUGACCGGGGUUGCGGACAGUGUCUGGUGGGUAGUUUGACUGGGGCGGUCUCCUCCCAAAGCGUAACGGAGGAGCACGAAGGUUAGCUAAUCCUGGUCGGACAUCAGGAGGUUAGUGCAAUGGCAUAAGCUAGCUUGACUGCGAGCGUGACGGCGCGAGCAGGUGCGAAAGCAGGUCAUAGUGAUCCGGUGGUUCUGAAUGGAAGGGCCAUCGCUCAACGGAUAAAAGGUACUCCGGGGAUAACAGGCUGAUACCGCCCAAGAGUUCAUAUCGACGGCGGUGUUUGGCACCUCGAUGUCGGCUCAUCACAUCCUGGGGCUGAAGUAGGUCCCAAGGGUAUGGCUGUUCGCCAUUUAAAGUGGUACGCGAGCUGGGUUUAGAACGUCGUGAGACAGUUCGGUCCCUAUCUGCCGUGGGCGCUGGAGAAUUGAGGGGGGCUGCUCCUAGUACGAGAGGACCGGAGUGGACGCAUCACUGGUGUUCGGGUUGUCAUGCCAAUGGCACUGCCCGGUAGCUAAAUGCGGAAGAGAUAAGUGCUGAAAGCAUCUAAGCACGAAACUUGCCCCGAGAUGAGUUCUCCCUGAGACUUUAAGUCUCCUGAAGGAACGUUGAAGACGACGACGUUGAUAGGCCGGGUGUGUAAGCGCAGCGAUGCGUUGAGCUAACCGGUACUAAUGAACCGUGAGGCUUAACCUU
rnacentral:rRNA from 1 species